rnacentral:rRNA from 1 species
UACGUAGGGGUGCGAGCGUUUGUCCGGAAUUAUUGGGCGUAAAGAGCUCGUAGGCGGUUUGUCGCGUCUGCUGUGAAAACCCGAGGCUCAACCUCGGGCCUGCAGUGGGUACGGGCAGACUAGAGUGCGGUAGGGGAGAUUGGAAUUCCUGGUGUAGCGGUGGAAUGCGCAGAUAUCAGGAGGAACACCGGUGGCGAAGGCGGGUCUCUGGGCAGUAACUGACGCUGGAGGAGCGAAAGCGUGGGGAGCGAACAGG